rnacentral:rRNA from 1 species
GGGGAAUUUUGGACAAUGGGGGCAACCCUGAUCCAGCCAUGCCGCGUCAGUGAAGAAGGCCUUCGGGUUGUAAAGCUUUUUCGGCGGGGAGGCAUUGGCAACGGCUAAUAUCCGUUGUUGUUGACCGUACCCGCAUAAGAAGCCACGGCUAACAUCCUGCCAGCAGCCGCGGUAAUACGUAGGGUGCGAGCGUUAAUCGGAAUUACUGGGCGUAAAGCGUGGCAGGCGGUUUCGUAAGACAGACGUGAAAUCCCCGGGCUCAACCUGGGAACUGCGUUUGUGACUGCGAGGCUAGAGUACGGCAGAGGGGGGUAGAAUUCCACGUGUAGCAGUGAAAUGCGUAGAGAUGUGGAGGAAUACCGAUGGCGAAGGCAGCCCCCUGGGUUAGUACUGACGCUCAUGCACGAAAGCGUGGGGAGCAAACA